rnacentral:rRNA from 1 species
UACAGAGGCCUCAAGCGUUGUUCGGAUUCAUUGGGCGUAAAGGGUGCGUAGGUGGCGCCGUAAGUCAGGUGUGAAAUUUCGGAGCUUAACUCCGAAACUGCAUUUGAUACUGCGGUGCUUGAGGACUGGAGAGGAGACUGGAAUUUACGGUGUAGCAGUGAAAUGCGUAGAUAUCGGGAGGAACACCUGUGGCGAAAGCGGCGCACUGGACCAUAACUGACGCUGAGGCGCGAAAGCUAGGGGAGCAAACAGG